rnacentral:rRNA from 1 species
GACAGAGGGUGCGAGCGUUGUUCGGAAUUACUGGGCGUAAAGCGCGCGCAGGCGGAUCCUGCAAGUCGGAAGUGAAAUGUGGCUGCUCAACGGCCACGCUGCUUCCGAUACUGCGGAUCUGGGGACCGGUAGAGGCUGGUGGAAUUGCAGGUGUAGCGGUGGAAUGCGUAGAGAUCUGCAAGAACACCCGUGGCGAAAGGCGGCCAGCUGGGCCGGAUCCGACGCUGAGGCGCGAAAGCGUGGGGAGCAAACAGG